rnacentral:rRNA from 1 species
CAGUCGCCGCGGUAAUACGGAAGGUCCAGGCGUUAUCCGGAUUUAUUGGGUUUAAAGGGAGUGUAGGCGGUCUGUUAAGCGUGUUGUGAAAUUUAGGUGCUCAACAUUUAACUUGCAGCGCGAACUGGCGGACUUGAGUGCACGCAACGUAUGCGGAAUUCAUGGUGUAGCGGUGAAAUGCUUAGAUAUCAUGACGAACUCCGAUUGCGAAGGCAGCGUACGGGAGUGUUACUGACGCUUAAGCUCGAAGGUGCGGGUAUCGAACAGGAUUAGAUACCCCUGUAGUCCCUGUCCCUUAUAC